GUGUUCUGGAGCUGGAGGGAUAGUUUGCAGCAGUUGGUGGUGUGCCAGAGCCUGUGAGACUCAGAGCUGCCAAGGCAGCUGGGGUUCUGGCCCCUGCUAGGUUCACAGCCGAAGGUGCCACCGCUGUUCUGGGGCUGGCCAAGUUCAUGGCCGCUGCUGCAGCUGGCGUUCGAGAGUCAGCCAGGUUCACUGCUGUUGGA
rnacentral:lncRNA from 1 species